CUGCAAUGACAAUCCCUGUUGUUGCUGCUGCUGUUGUUCCAUUGAUUGUUGUUGUUGUUGUAGUAAGGCCUGAUGCUGCUGUUGUUCCAUUGAUUGUUGUUGUUGUUGUAGUAAGGUCUGAUGCUGCUGUUGUUCCAUUGAUUGUUGUUGUUGUUGUAGUAAGGCCUGAUGCUGCUGUUGUUCCAUUGAUUGUUGUUGUUGUUGUAGUAAGGCCUGAUGCUGCUGUUGUUCCAUUGAUUGUUGUUGUUGUUGUAGUAAGGUCUGAUGCUGCUGUUGUUCCAUUGAUUGUUGUUGUUGUUGUAGUAAGGCCUGAUGCUGCUGUUGUUCCAUUGAUUGUUGUUGUUGUUGUAGUAAGGCCUGAUGCUGCUGUUGUUCCAUUGAUUGUUGUUGUUGUUGUAGUAAGGCCUGAUGCUGCUGUUGUUCCAUUGAUUGUUGUUGUUGUUGUAGUAAGGUCUGAUGCUGCUGUUGUUCCAUUGAUUGUUGUUGUUGUUGUAGUAAGGCCUGAUGCUGCUGUUGUUCCAUUGAUUGUUGUUGUUGUUGUAGUAAGGCCUGAUGCUGCUGUUGUUCCAUUGAUUGUUGUUGUUGUUGUAGUAAGGUCUGAUGCUGCUGUUGUUCCAUUGAUUGUUGUUGUUGUUGUAGUAAGGCCUGAUGCUGC